CAGAUCCGCCCCUGUAUCCGGAACCUCUGGAUGACCUGUGGCUCCCACACCGGCCACAUCUUCUUCGUGGCCUGGCUUCCAGGGCUGGGAGGCAAGUGGCUCUAAGUGAUCCUCCCCUCGGAAUGUUGUUCCUCUGGCAACAAAUAGAACCCUACCCACAAACGCCAGGAAUGAAAUUCUCUCUUCCUGGCAAAGACCUUCAUGAGCAGAGACUCUGCAGUGGAGCUUGGUGCCCACCCUCCAACUGACGUCUAACUCUGGUCCUUUGGGCUGACCGCCAAGUCCCUUUAUCUGUUUGUGCUCAGGAAACACCACGCUGGGCUCAAAGGCGUCUUGAUAAAUCAGUAGACUGGCCACAUGUUACAGACAAGAAAACAGAGGCCUACACAGCUCCAGUAUCCUGUUCAAGGCCUCGAUGCCAGUGAAGGACACAACCAGAACUGGAAUCCAGUGGCAACAAUAAGGCAGAUUGGAGAUGUCGCCACUGACAGAUGUCACCCUGACAGCAGCACAAUCCAUGGGGGUAUCAGAGAGCAGCUCUCAGAGCACCUGGACUAUCUCAUGGGCCAACUCUGGAGAUCUCUAGCCAACAGAUUCACACCCAGCCCGCUGGCCAUCCCCAGCCUUCCACUCCCAGACUCCCUGGCUCCACAAGGAAUCCUUGGUCCUGGAGAACUUCACCAGAACGUGGAGAUCCUGGCUCCAAUAUCCUACCCAACAUUUUAGUCGAGCCUUGUGGAAAAUAGGAAAGUUAGAGGGGUAUAAGGAUCAUAUUCUUGACCUUAAAAAUUCUCUAAUCUCUCAUAUAUUGCUGGUGGAAGUAUAAAAUUGGUACAACCUGUAAAACUUUUUGAGAAAUCUACUAAAGGUAAACAUAAGCCUACUUAGCAAUGCCACUUCUUGUAUAUAAAUCAUAGAAAUCAGUGCUUAUGCUCACCACAGGGCAGGCACGAAAAUGUUCAUUGUCAUUCUAUUCAUAAUAGAUCCAAACGGGAAAUAACCCAAAUGUGCAUCAAUAGGAAAAUGGAUAAGUGAGCUGAUUAUGUAUAUAUACAAUUAAUAUAUAUAAUUUUAUAUAUUUGUUUUAUAUUAUUUAUAUUAUGUUACAUAUAUGACAUAUACAUAUGUGUGUGUAUAUAUAUAUAAAACAUUUGCUAUAUGGCAUUGCAUAUGCUGUACAGCAAUUAAAAAGAGUAAACUGCUACAUUUAGCAUCAAGCAUGAACCUCACAGACAUUCUGUUGAGCAAAAGAAGCCAGACACAAAAGAGUACUUACCACAUGAUUCCAUUUCUGUGAAGGUCAAGAACAGGCAAGGUAAAAUAUAGCAGCAACCUCUUCCCCGGGGGAAGAGUGUUUUUUGGGAGAGUGCAUGAGAAAGCUCCGGGGUGCUGGAAAUGCUAUGUUUAUCCAAGUUGAGGUUUUACAAGUGUAUAUGUAUAUUACAUAUGUAAAAAUUCAUCUGGCUGUACACUCAAGACUUGUAAACUUUAGUAUAUAAGUUAUAUCCACCAC